GUGUACAGAGAUGGAGAAUGAAUUUGUCCUCAUCAAGAAGGAUGUAGAUGAAACUUACAUGAACAAGGUAGAGCUGGAGUCUCAUCUGGAAGGGCCGACUGUAUGAAGUGGCGAUCCAGGAGCUGCAGUCCCAAAUCUCCAACAUGUCUGUGGUGCUAUCCGUGGACAACAGCUGCUCCCUGGACAUGGACAGCAUCGUUGUUGAGGUCAAGACGCAGCACGAGGAGGUUGCCAACCGCAGUUGGGCUGAGGCUGAGAGCACGUACCAGAUCAAGUAUUUGGAGCUACAGAUGCUGGCUAGGAGGCACGGGGAUGACCUGUGGCAUACAAAGACUGAGAUCUCCAAGAUGAACCAGAAUAUCAGCCAGCUCUGGGCUGAGAUUGAGGGCCUCAAAGGCCAGAGGGCUUCCCUGGAGGCCGCUGUCACAGAUGCUGAGCAGCGUGGGGAGCUGGCCAUUAAGGAUGUCAAUGCUAAACUGUCCGAGCUGGAGGCCACACUGCAGCGCAUGAGUACCAGGAGCUGAGGAACGUCAACUUGGCCCUGGACAUGGAGAUCGCCACCUACAGAAAGCUGCUGGAGGGCUAGGAGAGCUGGCUGGAGUCUGGGAUGCAGAACAUAGGUAUCCAUACGAAGACAACCAGCGGCUAUGCAGGUGGUCUGAACUUGGCCUAUAUGGGCCUCACAAGCCCUGGCCUUAGCUAUGGCCUGAGCUCCUGCUUUGGCUCUGGCACAGGCUCCAGCUCCUUCAGCUGCACCAGCUCCACCAGGGCCGUGGUUGUGAAGAAGAUAGAGACCCGCAAUGGGAAGCUGGUGUCCAAGUCCUCUGACUUCCUGCCCAAGUGAACAACUGUGGCAGCCCCUCCUAGUCUGUUCCUCCUGUGACUGCCACAGACUCCGGGAGGGAGGCUGCUGUGUGGUGGAGCACAGAGAACAGGAGACCCCCCUGAGGCUCAGCCCACCUGCAGGGGAGUUUACUGCCUGGUGAUCCAAAACACACACACACACACACACACACACAAAAUUGUAGAUUGAGUCAUUAUUGCUUCUAGUUUACUGAGUUCCUUCUAUUAAUAUAAAUUCUUGAUUUGGUAUCAUGCUCAUUCUGGGGUGAAAAGUUUAGGGAAUAAAUCAGACAUUUCAGGGAAAAAACCCCUGCGUAUUUAAAAGUAGUUGUGACACACUUUGUUAAACAAUUAUCCUUAAUUAUAAUUCUUAGGUAGUCUAUUGGCUUAAAUUUAUUACUUGAAAUUGUCACUACUCGUUUGCCAAGUUUAUAUGUUUAGUGUCUGUACUUCCGAUUCUUCCCAGAUAGAAGAUACAUAAUUUAUCAAAUGGGCAAAGAAGUCCUUCAGGGAGUUGGUAAUAGCUCUACAUGCUGAUUGGUAAUUGAAUUAGCAAGAUAUAGUAGAUCUAACUGAUUAGGAGGUUUCAAUUUUACUUGCUGGACUAAAGAAGUAAAAUGCAGAAUUAUUAAUAACCAUUUCAAUAUUAUCUUAAUUUGGGAUGUGAUAAAUUAUCACAAACUGAGUGGCUUAAACAACAAAUACUUCUCACAGUUAGGGAGGACGUGAAGUCCAUUAUUAAGGCAGAUCUGGUAUGUGGUGAGAAUUCACUUCCCGGUUUGGAGAUGGCUAUCUACUUAUUGUAUCCUUGUAUGUUGGAUAGUAGCCAGGAAACAAGCUCUCAUUUCUCUUAUACGGGCACUAAUCCCAUUCAUGAGGGCCUCACCCUCAUGACCUAAUUACUUCCCUCAAACCUCACCCUUAACGCCAUCACAUGGGGGUUAAGAUUUCAACAUAAAUUUUGGGGGAACACAAACAUUUAGUUCAUGACUAACGCAGACUAUUUAACAAAGACACUUUUUUGUGUAUAUGAAGUAUAGUUGUUAUAACCAAACACCAGAAAACCUAUUCUGUAUCUGAGACCUGUUUUGCAAUAGGCUAUUUGGUGUUAGGUAAUGAUCUUCUGACUUGUAAUCACUCUUGGUAUUGGGAAAGUCUAAAAUAUUAUGGAGAUACUUGCUUUCAGUGUGUCAUGAAAUUCUCUGAGUCACUUUCUGAAUAGAGAAACUCUGUUCUGCAACAGACAUUUGUGAAAGGAUUUGUGAAGACUUAUACAGGAUUUUGGUUGAUCAAAUGCAAUCUCAAAAAUAAUUAUAAUUGUGAGUUAAGCAGUUUAGACUCUUCUCAUGAUACAUGCAUUAAACUGAAGAUUAUAGAA